GUAUAUGAAACAAGCUUUCAUUAGUUCCUAUGAAAACAUGUAAAAACAAUGGCUUUGUUUUCCCACAUUUUACUAAACACUCUACAGGUACACUUAGAACACAGUGGUUAAAAAUAUAGAACAGAAAAAAGUUAUUAAAAACAAGAAAAUGGGUGCAGAUCCACCUUGUGGCGUGAGAGAAUGUGUACACUUUCCAGUACAGGCAAUUUAUGUUAUAUACCUGUGUCCAAUCGGAGAUUUUUAGGGAGACAAUAUGAAGAAGCCCGAAAGGAAGUGUAUGGGACUCCCCAUUCUCUGCUCUGCGUACCAAGCAGGUGGGAGGAUUAUUCCAGCCUCUGUGAUCACACACAGAAGGAUGAGCCUUCCUCGUGAGGGUUGGAGAUGGAGGGAGAAGGGAUGGAGAGUAAGGAUGGGACGGAGGUUGUGGAGCAGAAGACCAACACGCCAGAAAGGAAAAUAAUGAUCAUCUCAAUUUUUAUAUGUGGAGGCAUUGCUUUUCUUCUUUGGGGGAUUUUAAGAUUUCCCAGAAAAUGUAAGUAAACAAUUUCUGCUAAAAUUAUUAAAUUAAACUGUUAAAAUUAUUGUAUUAUUGAUUCAGUUGGAUACCAAUAACUAGUCUUUCCUUCCUUAAUGUAGAACAAUUUAGAGAUAAAAGCAUUUUCCAAGACAGUGCAUCUAAUUGCUCUUCAAACUUAGUCACCUGCUUCACCUUCUAGAAUAAUCAGUCUUUCAAUAAAUAUGUAUCAAGCUUUAGGCACAGUGCUGCCUGCUGAUGAUACAACAAUGAAAAAAAAUGGUAUUUCUUGCCUGAAAGUAGUUUAUCUUUAACUGAAUAUGGAAGCAUGUAAGCAAACAACUGUAACACAAAAGAAAUAAUUACUAAAUAGAACUAUGUUGAAUUUGAAGCAGGAGAGGAGAUUAUAAGUUAGCUGCUUGUAGUCAAGGCUUUAAUGAAGGGAGAAAUAUUUGUGCUGAAUCUUAAACUCAAGUAGGCGUUUAUCAAAGAUCAUCUUAGAACACACAUGUCAGAGAAUCACGCCAGGUAUAAUUAUGAUGGAGUUACAAAGAAGUAGGGUGAGGGACUGGCAAUUGUAUUAUAGUUCCCUAGUGCAUUAACUCUUUCACUGCCAUUCAUUAGCAAUUUAUACCUUCUCCUUCAUCUCCAUUCUCCUCAUGCUCAUUCUCAUGUCUAUACCCUUGCUUCCAACUUGUUCUAAUUUUAACAAUUUGUAGGAAACUUCCAAAUGCUCCCAUCACCACACCAGCUUACUUACUCCAUCUCUGCCCCUACACUCUGCCUAGACUCCUGGAACUGUAGAUGCAGUAUUCAUGUUCUACAAUAGAUCCUAUAUUCUCUCACUGGAUCAGUAAUAUCACCCUAGUAAU
rnacentral:lncRNA from 1 species